AGUACUUUGGAAUGGGUGUCUGUAGUUCGCCAGGAGAUAAGGCAAAGCAGAGAUGAGAACAAAUACGACAAUAAGAGCAACCAGAACAGUGGCUUCAUCAGGCAAUAGGUCUGACUUCAUGGGAAUGAGCAUGAUUUUGAGGAGAGAAAUGUGCUCUAUCUCGUCUUGCUGAUUUGACUGGUCCAGCCAAAUUUCAUGGAAGCAGUAUCUUUAAACGGUCUCCAGAUACCCUGCUGGAUCAUUGUAGCUCUAUUAUUUCAGCAGAGCUAUGUAAUUCUGCCUCAUCAGAGCACUGGUCCUCUUCAUUUAUGCUUGUCUUUAAAAGAGGAAAUCCUUAUCUAACGUAUUUGGUUGUGUAGCACUCAUGACAUUAUUAGGAGCAGGUGAAGCAUCUCCACCCUUCUCUCAUCCCCCCAAAUUGAAUCUGAAUUUUCUGGUUCAUAGUUUGUACAGAUUGUAAUGCUAAUGUUCUUUUUCUAACUUGAUUUGUGUCACUAUCACAGUUGUGAAUCAGUCGUGGAGCCCCAGUAACAGUUAAUAACAUAAAUUAUGUACUUGGACUAAAAAUAACAAGGUGAUAUACUGUCACCUAUCACACUUUCUUUCUGUAUGAACCAAAAUACAUUAACAGUGAAUAGCAUCCUCCUAUGGAACUCCAAGAAGUUAUAUAAAAUUAGUUUUGUUGGCACGUCGCAGUAAGAACCAGGAUCACAACAACCUAUUUGAUGGCACAGCAGACACAGUAGAAAAGUUCAAUAUUCUGCCUCAGAACCUGCUGUCAUUUCCCUGAGAUAAGGUAACAUCUGUGGCUUGAAAAAAAAGCAAACAACAACAACAAAAAAAACCACCAACAUUUCAAUCUUCUUCUGGCUCACAUCAGUAAGUCCUGAAAACCUCCAGAAGUUAGCAGUAAUGUCUACUACAGCUCCUCAUUCUCUUACAAGAUGCAAGAGGGCUCCUGGCUGAAGAGCUCAAUGGGAUGCAAGAAGGUGGGGACAACCACCUGCUGACCGCUUCUCCACAGGCAUGGUGAUGAGGAAGAAAGCUAACUGUGAACUUUGCUCUGAGUGUGGAUUCACUGUUAGUCACACAGGAUGUACGCUGGGGCAAGGCAGUAAGGUGAAAGGCUGCCAUGCAGUGACUCAGGGGAUAAGCAUGUAACUAAAAGCUUGCUGCUUCUCAGCUAUGGUCAGCAUCACUCCCACCAGGAAUUCCUUCUAGCAGCUCUACCAGGCUGUGAAAGAAAAAUAUUGCAGAAAGGUUCUCUUCCACAGCUUUCCCUCUCAACUGAUCAGCAAUCCCCUUGCAUAAAUGUGUCAGUUUCACGGAGGGCCUUCUGCAAUCUCUCUCCUUCUUGAUCUUUUCAGGAGUGCUGUUUUCUAUUUUUUGUUGAAAUUUUAAUGAAGGGUGAAUUAAUACAGAAUGUAAUGUUUUUAAAUUACACGUCAUAUUAGAAUUUCUGCUGGUACAAUUACAUUUUAAUUAAGUAAAAAACUGGACAUAGAAGUAGCUCUCCAUGUCUCCAAGCUAGGUUUACUUCUGUGACAUUUAAUAAAGGUCCAAUGUAUCCAGAAUUAAGAAGACUUGUGUUCUGCAGCAAGAUCUGGGGAGUUGAUGCUGCUCUGCCUGAAAUGCUACACCACUUUCAGCUUAAUUAAAAUCUGGAUCCUUUUAUUAACAAGCUAUGACAAUUGCAAAUGUAGAGGACAAACCAGAAUGUAGUUCUUUUUCAGCUGUCUUCUCUCUGCAUGUUCUGCUGUCUGUGUGGCUAAUGCAGGUCAUCCAAAACGUAUUCCUUCCUCACAGACCCCUGCAUCACCACUGCCUAAACUGUGCCGCUUCCCUUCCGAUACCUGGAAAUGGGCAUUGCAAAAGGGCUCCAGUGACCUGGAUUUAUGGAUCGUCACAGCUGCUGAGAUGGGGUGUUGUGAUUUUAGCCACCAUCCUUGAAACCACUUUUCAUGGAAGUUCACAGUUGAAGUUGACCUGGCUGAAGGACAGAGCGUGCUCUUAGCAAACUUGCUGAUGACACAAAACCGGGAGGAGUAGCUGAUCCACCAGAGGGCCGUGCUGCCAUUCAGAGAGACCUGGACAGGCCGGAGAGCUGGGCAGAGAGGAACCUCACGGCGUUCAACAAAGGCAAGUG